AAGAACCACAACACACACAACCAGUCCCCAAAAUGGCACAGAAAUGGCAUCAGGAAACCCCGAUCACAAAGAUACAAAUGUCUUAAUGGGGUGGACCUCAAGUUCCUAAGGAGCAUGCACCUUGCCAAGAAGCACAACAAGAAGGGCCUAAAAAAGAUGCAGGCCAACAAUGCCGAGGCCAUGAGGGCACGUGCUGAGGCUAUCAAGGUCCUCGAAAGCCCAAGGAGGUUAAGCCCAAGAUCCCAAAGGGUGUCAGCCGCAAGCUCGAUUGACUUGCCUACAUUGCCCACCCCAAGCUUGGGAAGCGUGCUCGUGCCUGCAUUGCCAAGGGGCUCAGGCUGUGCCGGCCAAAGGCCAAGGCCAAGGACCAAACCAAGGCCCAGGCUGCAGCUCCAGCUUCAGUUCUAGCUCAGGCUCCCAAAGCUGUCCAGGCCCCUACAAAGGUUUCAGAGUAG
rnacentral:lncRNA from 1 species